rnacentral:rRNA from 1 species
UGCCCUCUGAUGGGAAUAACUCGCCGAAAGGCGAGCUAAUUCCGCAUAACAUUCCUUGGACUCCGGUCCGAGGAUUCAAAGGCGUAAGUCGUCGGAGGUGGAAGCCCGCGCACGAUUAGCUAGUUGGUGAGGUAAUGGCUCACCAAGGCUAUGAUCGUUAGCUGGUCUGAGAGGAUGGCCAGCCACACUGAACUGAGACACGGUCCAG